rnacentral:antisense_RNA from 1 species
CUUCAGCGACCCCAGCAGCAGCGGCUCCCGCUCGCCGCGCUCCCGGCCGUACGUGGCCAGCAGCGCCUGGGCCUC